GAUGAACGCUGGCGGCGUGCCUAAUACAUGCAAGUCGAGCGAACAGACGAGGAUCUUGCUCCUCUGACGUUAGCGGCGGACGGGUGAGUAACACGUGGAUAACCUACCUAUAAGACUGGGAUAACUUCGGGAAACCGGAGCUAAUAACGGAUAAUAUAUUGAACCGCAUGGUUCCAUAGUGAAAGACGGGUUUGCUGUCACUUAUAGAUGGAUCCGCGCCGCAUUAGCUAGUUGGUAAGGUAACGGCUUACCAAUGCAACAAUGCGUAGCCGACCUGAGAGGGUGAUCGGCCACACGAGAACUGAGACACGGUCCAGACUCCUGCGGGAGGCAGCAGUAGGGAAUCUUACGCAAUGGACGAAAGCCUGACGGAGCAACGCCGCGUGAGUGAUGAAGGUCUUCGGAUCGUAAAACUCUGUUAUUAGGGAAGAACAAAUGUGUAAGUAACUAUGCACAUCUUGACGGUACCUAAUCAGAAAGCCACGGCUAACUACGUG
rnacentral:rRNA from 1 species